rnacentral:misc_RNA from 1 species
AAGUCAUAACAAGGUUUCUGUAGGUGAACCUGCAGAAGGAUCAUUAUUGAAUUGUUAAAUGGGGAAUCUUUCGAGAUUCCUCUACAUUCUUUAUUCCCAACACCUGUCGAUCGUUGCAUGUAGUCGCUUCAGUAGCAACAUUUUUUAUACACACGUAAUAGUUUAGAACGUAAAAAUAUAUAAUAAAAAUACAA